rnacentral:rRNA from 1 species
GACGAACGCUGGCGGCGUGCUUAACACAUGCAAGUCGAACGGAAAGGCCCUGCUUUUGUUGGUUGCUCGAGUGGCGAACGGGUGAGUAACACGUGAGUAACCUGCCCUUGACUUUGGGAUAACUUCAGGAAACUGGGGCUCAUACCGGAUAUGAGCUCCUGCUGCAUGGUGGUGGUUGGAAAGUUUCGGCGGUUGGGGAUGGACUCGCGGCUUAUCCGCUUCUUGGUGUGGUAGUGGCUUACCAAGGCUUUGACGGGUAGCCGGCCUGGGAGGGUGACCGGCCACAUUGGGACUGAGAUACGGCCCAGACUCGUACGUGAGGCAGCGGUGGGAAGUAUUGCACAAUGGGCGGGAGCCUGAUGCAGAGACUCCGCGUGCGGAAUGACGGGCUUCGGGUGGUAAACAGAUUUCGCCUGUGACGAAGCGUGAGUGACGGUACUGGGUAAAGAAGCACCGGCUAACUACGUG